rnacentral:rRNA from 1 species
GGUGAACGCUGGCGGCGUGCUUAACACAUGCAAGUCGAACGGAAAGGCUCCUGCUUGCAGGGGUACUCGAGUGGCGAACGGGGGAGGAACACGUGGGUGAUCUGCCCUGCACUUCGGGAGAAGCCUGGGAAACUGGGCCUAAUACCGGAUAGGACGAGGGCUUGGAUGCCAUGGUGGAAAGUUUUUUCGGUGUGGGAUGAGCUCGCGGCCUAUCAGCUUGUUGGUGGGGUAAUGGCCUACCAAGGCGUCGACGGGUAGCCGGCCUGGGAGGGAGUACGGCCCCAUUGGGCUUGGGGUACGGCCAGUGGGCAAACGGGGGGCAGGGGCGGGAACUAGAGCACAAUGGGCCGAGGCGGGAUGGAGCGCCGCCGCGUGGGAGAGGCCGGCUUUCGGGUAGUAAACGCAUUUCGCUAGGAACGCGGCGCAAGGGACGGAACCUGGAGAAGAAGCACCGGCUAAUUACGU